rnacentral:rRNA from 1 species
GGUUAAGCGACUAAGCGUACACGGUGGAUGCCCUGGCAGUCAGAGGCGAUGAAGGGCGUGCUAAUCUGCGAUAAGCGCCGGUAAGGUGAUAUGAACCGUUAUAACCGGCGAUACCCGAAUGGGGAAACCCAGUGUGACUCGUCACACUAUCAUUAACUGAAUCCAUAGGUUAAUGAGGCGAACCGGGGGAACUGAAACAUCUAAGUACCCCGAGGAAAAGAAAUCAACCGAGAUUCCCCCAGUAGCGGCGAGCGAACGGGGAGGCGCCCAGAGCCUGAAUCAGCAUGUGUGUUAGUGGAAGCGUCUGGAAAGGCGCGCGAUACAGGGUGACAGCCCCGUACACAAAAGCGCAUGUGCUGUGAGCUCGAUGAGUAGGGCGGGACACGUGGUAUCCUGUCUGAAUAUGGGGGGACCAUCCUCCAAGGCUAAAUACUCCUGACUGACCGAUAGUGAACCAGUACCGUGAGGGAAAGGCGAAAAGAACCCCGGCGAGGGGAGUGAAAAAGAACCUGAAACCGUGUACGUACAAGCAGUGGGAGCACAGGUUUACCUGUGUGACUGCGUACCUUUUGUAUAAUGGGUCAGCGACUUAUAUUCUGUAGCA